AGAUGAUACUAACUCUCAAGU
rnacentral:misc_RNA from 1 species